UACGUAGGGGGCAAGCGUUGUCCGGAUUUAUUGGGCGUAAAGAGCGUGUAGGCGGCCAGAUAGGUCCGUUGUGAAAACUGGAGGCUUAACCUCCAGCUGUCGAUGGAAACCAUCUGGCUAGAGUCCGGAAGAGGAGAGUGGAAUUCCUGGUGUAGCGGUGAAAUGCGCAGAUAUCAGGAAGAACACCCGUGGCGAAGGCGGUUCUCUGGGCCUUACCUGACGCUGAGGAGCGAAAGCGUGGGGAGCGAACAGG
rnacentral:rRNA from 1 species